AUGUCCUAACAGACCCCUACCCCAAAGACCUCUCAAACACUCUCUUCCCGUCUCUCCGGCCAAAGGCACAAUCAAAAAUCGCCCACGACGGCGGGCCACAUCCAAACCACCCUAAAUUAUCACCUUUCUUAUUCCCAAUCUCCAGUCCAUCUCUCCUAAAAACCCUUCAAUCUCGUCAUUUAGUAAAUCUAGGAAUUUCAAAAAACUUUGCCUCUUUUUUGAUUUCUCUUGAUGAGAGCAAUCGAUGGACGUUAGUUUUGGUUCAUUUUAUAGCCACCAGAACCCGGUCAAAUCCCGUUGACUGGCGAGUUUUCUCUCCAAUUGCUCCAUUUUUGUUUCUUUGAUCUGUCCAAGUCCAAUAUGCUACGGGUUAGAUAUUGUGACUGCAAAAGUGUUGAUUCUGAGUAUUUCCAAAUUGUGUCCAAAUCAUUCUGACGAACACAUCCAGCGAGAGAUCUUCAUUUUUGGAAGGCUAACCAUUUUGUGGGUCAAAUCCAUGAGUUAGAAAAUAGGACAGACCUGAUAGGCACUGUUUGUACAUUUAAUGAACAACUGCUAUAAGAGUUUCAACUAAUUUGUUACAUGUUAUGGUUAAUGCAAUUUAGAAGUAGCUUGUUACUAUUGUAUUCAUAAAUAUGGCAGUUUUGUUUAGUGAAUUCAUUGAUAAGGCCUGUAAUAGCUAUAUCUCUUAAUAUUCAAACUAUAACCAAGACGCGUUAAUUUGAAUGCAAUUCCUUAUUCGUGUAUUU